AGGAAGUGAAAAAAAACUCUAGAGUCAAUUGGAGACUUGAAAGCACCGGGACUGGAUGGUAUGCCUGCUGUGUUUUAUAAGAAGUUCUGUGAGCUGGUGGGAAUGAAGGUGCAAGAAGAGGUGUUGGGGGUGCUUAAUGGUAAUCCUAUGCCCGAGUCAUGGAAUGAAACCACCAUCGUCUUUAUACCAAAGAAUAAUAAUCCUCAGAGGGUAACGAAGUUCAGGUCGAUUAGCUUUUGCAACGUUCUGUACAAGAUGAUCUCCAAGGUCUUAGCAAAUAGAUUAAAGGAAAUGCUCCCAAAGAUUAUCUCAUCGACCCAAUCAGCCUUUAUCCCGGGAAGGUUGAUUACCGAUAAUGUGUUGUUGGCUUAUGAGAUCAACCACUUGAUGCAUAAGAGGAAGGGGGGUCGUGAUGGACUUGUGGCGGUCAAGCUUUACAUGAGCAAAGCAUAUGACCGUGUUGAGUGGGAAUUCUUGGAGUGCAUGAUGCGCAAGAUGGGGUUCGGAGAGGUGUGAAUUGGCACUAUUAUGAAGUGCGUUAGAUCGGUAAAAUAUAGAGUGAAAGUGAAUAGAAAUCUUGAACGAUCUAUUCGUGCCCGAGCGAGGGCUGCACAAGGGGAUCCUCUGUCCCCAUAUAUGUUCAUCAUGUGUGCUGAAGGCUUCUCAACCCUGCUGCGACUAGCGGAGGAAGAUGAUAUUAUUCAGGGCAUCCAAAUCUGUAAUGGGGCGCCCAAGAUAAACCAUCUCUUCUUUGUGGAUGACUCCCUUAUAGUGAUGAAGGCAACUUCUCAAGGUGCAGAUAGACUGCAGCCUAUCUUGGCUUUAUAUGAGUCCCAGUCAGGUCAAAUGAUAAACAAGAAUAAGUCAUUGGCAACCUUCAUCAAGGGCACAACAACAGCGGUUAAAAGUGAGGUCCUACAUAUCCUCGGUAUCCCUCAUGAGUCUCGUUGUAAAAGAUAUUUGUGGUUACCAGUUCAUGCUGGUGUUGCCCCAAGUAGGGAAUUUGAGUACAUCAAGCAAAUGAUAUGGUAGAGAAUGCAGGGCUGAAUCGAGAGGUUACUAUCCAAACCGGGCAAAGAAACCUUAGUAAAAUCGUUAGCCUAG
rnacentral:rRNA from 1 species